rnacentral:rRNA from 1 species
UACGUAGGCAGCGAGCGUUGUUCGGAAUUACUGGGCGUAAAGAGUGUGUAGGCGGUGCUCUAAGUUCGGUGUGAAAUCUCCUGGCUCAACUGGGAGGGUGCGCCGGAAACUGGAGUGCUUGAGCGUGGGAGAGGAAAGCGGAAUUCCUGGUGUAGCGGUGAAAUGCGUAGAUAUCAGGAGGAACACCUGUGGUGUAGACGGCGGUCUGGACCAUAGCUGACGCUGAGACACGAAAGCGUGGGUAGCAAACAGG